AGUGAACGCUGGCGGUAGGCCUAACACAUGCAAGUCGAACGGCAGCACAGUAAGAGCUUGCUCUUACGGGUGGCGAGUGGCGGACGGGUGAGGAAGACAUCGGAAUCUACUUUUUCGUGGGGGAUAACGUAGGGAAACUUACGCUAAUACCGCAUACGACCUACGGGUGAAAGCAGGGGAUCUUCGGACCUUGCGCGAUUAAAUGAGCCGAUGUCGGAUUAGCUAGUUGGUGGGGUAAAGGCCCACCAAGGCGACGAUCCGUAGCUGGUCUGAGAGGAUGGUCAGCCACACUGGAACUGAGACACGGUCCAGACUCCUACGGGAGGCAGCAGUGGGGAAUAUUGGACCAUGGGCGCAAGCCUGAUCCAGCCAUACCGCGUGUGUGAAGAAGGCAUUCGGUUUGUAAAGCCAUUUUGUUGGGAAAGAAAAGCAGCAGGUUAAUACCCCGCUGUUCUGACGGUACCAAAAGAAUAAGCAACGGCUAACUUCGUG
rnacentral:rRNA from 1 species